rnacentral:rRNA from 1 species
UACGUAGGGUGCGAGCGUUGUCCGGAAUUAUUGGGCGUAAAGAGCUUGUAGGCGGUUUGUCGCGUCUGCUGUGAAAAUCCGGGGCUCAACCCCGGACUUGCAGUGGGUACGGGCAGACUAGAGUGUGGUAGGGGAGACUGGAAUUCCUGGUGUAGCGGUGAAAUGCGCAGAUAUCAGGAGGAACACCGAUGGCGAAGGCAGGUCUCCGGGCCACUACUGACGCUGAGAAGCGAAAGCGUGGGGAGCGAACAGG